rnacentral:rRNA from 1 species
GACAGAGGGGGCAAGCGUUGCUCGGAAUCACUGGGCGUAAAGGGCGCGUAGGCGGGAUGGCAAGUCGGUCGUGAAAUCUCUCGGCUCAACCGAGAAACGUCGGCCGAUACUGCCGUUCUUGAGGGAUGCAGAGGAGACUGGAAUUCCCGGUGUAGCGGUGAAAUGUGUAGAGAUCGGGAGGAACACCGGUGGCGAAAGCGGCCUGCUGGGCAGUGGCUGACGCUGAGGCGCGACAGCGUGGGGAGCAAACAGG